rnacentral:rRNA from 1 species
UGGGGAAUAUUGGACAAUGGGGGAAACCCUGAUCCAGCAAUGCCGCGUGUGUGAAGAAGGCCUUCGGGUUGUAAAGCACUUUUAUCGGGAACGAAACGUUGUCGGUUAAUACCCGGCAAAACUGACGGUACCCGAGGAAUAAGCACCGGCUAACUCCGUGCCAGCAGCCGCGGUAAUACGGAGGGUGCAAGCGUUAAUCGGAAUUACUGGGCGUAAAGCGUGCGCAGGCGGUUUGUUAAGUCUGCUGUGAAAUCCCCGAGCUCAACUUGGGAAUUGCAGUGGAUACUGGCAAGCUAGAGUACGGUAGAGGAAGGUGGAAUUCCCGGUGUAGCAGUGAAAUGCGUAGAGAUCGGGAGGAACACCAGUGGCGAAGGCGGCUAUCUGGACAGUUUCUGACGCUAAGACGCGAAAGCGUGGGGAGCAAAC